rnacentral:sRNA from 12 species
GGCUUCAACAUCCCCGCCGGUUGGGCGCGGCUUUUCUGGCAGUUGGUUGUAGCAAGAAAAGACGCUCAGUGAAUCGGCUGUAGCC